rnacentral:tRNA from 1 species
UUUUUUGUAGUUUAACUAAAACAUUAUACUUUCACUAUAAAAACAAAUUAAAAUU